UGCUCGGCUUCCCCGCCUCGCCUCGCCCCGACGCCGUCCCCGCCCCGUCCCGCCCCGCCUCCUCUUCCUCGCCCGAGUGCCUCCCACCUGCCCUCUCGCGCGGUCCUCUCCCUCGCCGUCGCCGCCGCACUCUCUUCCCUGUCUCGCUUGCCGACGCCGCCCUCGCCCUCCUCGUCUCGCUCGACGACCACGCCGGGCCGCCGUCCCGCUCGCGCCGCCCUCGCCUCCCCAUCUCGCUCGCCGGCGCCGCUGCUAUGCCCUCUCCGCUCCAUCCCGCUCACCGGGAACGAGCCCCCUCCCCCGCGCUCGUCCCCUCGGUCUCCCGGCGCGGACCAAGCGAGGCGCGGUCCGCGCGGCCGCCGUCCCUCGCCUCCGCCCCUGCAGCCGGACACGGUCUCCGUCUCGCUCGACGACCUCGCCGCGCGGCCGUCCACCAGGCGCGGAUCCACCACGCGCGGCCGUCCACCCGGCGCGGAUCCACCACGCCCGGCCGCCUUCCGUCGAGAUCGAACAGCAGCUGGGGCGACGACACCUCCGAGGGCAUCAUAGCUGUGACCAACGACCACGGGACCAGAAAAAGGAAAUUUAGCACAAUCAUAUAUUGGUGAGACGCACUGAAUUGUGUACAUGGAGUUUAUGUCAUUUAUUUCUGCGGCUUUAUCUGUUGAGGCUGUGUACUGAAUGCCAUCACACUUACCCUAAUUAUCAAUAAGUCAGCUUCUUGGCAUUGCAUGCUUAUACUACAAAAUCAGUGGGCCAAGCUAAUACCCCUUCUUCCCCCCAGUGAUAUUGGUUACUUCUGUUAUAAGGAAAUGACUUAUCUUAGAGAAGGAACUCUCCUACAAGGAAGUGUUCGCAAUAUUUUUCCAUAUGGUGCACAAGUUAGGAUUGCUGGGAAAAAUAGAAGGGGAUUUUUAAGUUUGUGCAGUAAAAAAAGGGCACAUAUGCGAUAGUCAAUUUGAUACUAGCUGGUCGUGCUAUAUAUACUGGGAAUUUAAAGAUGGUAUACAUCAUCAUGUACGGAAAAACUACCAGUUGCAUGCUGCCCCAUCUCAUCUGAACUAUCACCCUCCCAUUCGGAAAAUGAGAUAUCCCAAGAUCUUGGUUCUACUCAUCAGAGCUCCAUUCCCCUCAUAAUCGAUGCUCGAGCAGAUGGCUGGUGGAUGUCAUGUAAAGCUGAGCAACUGCACACCAUGCUCUACAUUUACAAGUUCGACCACGGGCACGUUACUAGCAGAAUUAACGAGGGGCUUGGAUCAACAGUCCUGACGACAUAGAGAGACAGGACUCCUCGUCCUUAUGAGCAUGAGUACCUGACUAAAGCAACUUUGAUACACUUCCUCUGUUAUUAUGCCUAUGUUAAUCUCCCUGGUCCCUGCUUUUUCAUGUUCUCACGACAACCAUGAAUCACAAGAAUGAAAAAUUACAAUGAUCUUUUGAUUUCUUGGGUAUUAGACAAGUAUUGAUUGCAGCCGGGGUGUGGCUGAUUGCCCAAUGUCUAGGUCGCAGUGACACCAAUGCUUUGCUCCAAGCCCAGACAGCAACAUGAGCCCAGCCCCUUGACUAUUGUUAGUUUGACUCAUCGAGAAUCACGAGAUUGCCAUGCCCAAGUUGUCAAGGUUAGAAAGGGCCGGGAUUGAUCAAGGAUGAUAAGGAUUAGAAGUUCGCAUUGCGGUGGUUCUGGUGCACCACCAAUCAUCCCUGGAUUAUUGCUUUCAUCUGAAACCAUAUUCACUUAAGAUUGUGGGACCUGCUAUCUCUGGUUGAGCUGUGUCCAGAAACUGAAGAUUCAUCCAUAUUAGAUUGUAAGGGCGUUGAUUUUGUAUAUCUUGUAUGUGAUAACCUUGAGUUUUUUUAGAUGUUUUCCAUGCAUAUUUGGUAUGCUAUAAAAUAUAUAUUUUUCAUGUGUGCAUGCACAUCCUCAA